rnacentral:rRNA from 1 species
AUUGAACGCUGGCGGCAGGCCUAACACAUGCAAGUCGAGCGGAUGAAGGGAGCUUGCUCCUGGAUUCAGCGGCGGACGGGUGAGUAAUGCCUAGGAAUCUGCCUGGUAGUGGGGGAUAACGUCCGGAAACGGGCGCUAAUACCGCAUACGUCCUGAGGGAGAAAGUGGGGGAUCUUCGGACCUCACGCUAUCAGAUGAGCCUAGGUCGGAUUAGCUAGUUGGUGGGGUAAAGGCCUACCAAGGCGACGAUCCGUAACUGGUCUGAGAGGAUGAUCAGUCACACUGGAACUGAGACACGGUCCAGACUCCUACGGGAGGCAGCAGGGGGAAAUUUUGGAAAAUGGGCGAAAGCCUGUUCCAGCCAUGCCGGGGUGGUGAAGAAGGUCUUCGGAUUGUAAAGCCCUUUAAGUUGGGGGGAAGGGAAGUAAGUUAAUCCCUGGCUGUUUUGACGUUACCAACAAAAUAAGCCCCGGCUACCUUCGU